GACGAACGCUGGCGGCGUGCCUAAUACAUGCAAGUCGAACGCAGUGGGGACGGGUGAGUAACACGUGGGUAACCUCCCAUCAGAGGGGAUAACACUUGGAAACAGGUGCUAAACCGAUACUGAUGGAUGGACCCGCAGUGCAUUAGCUAGUUGGUGAGGUAACGGCUCACCAAGGCCACGAUGCAGAGCCGGCCUGAGAGGGUGAUAGGCCACACGGGGACUGAGACACGGCACAGACUCCUACGGCAGGCAGCAGUGGGGAAUAUUCGGCAAUGGACGAAAGUCUGACCGAGCCACGCCGCGGGGGUGAAGAAGGUUUUCGGAGCGUAAAGCUCUGUGGGGAGAGAAGCGGUAUCUAAACAGAAAGCCACGGCUAACUACGGGCCAGCAGCCGCGGUAAUUC
rnacentral:rRNA from 1 species